rnacentral:misc_RNA from 1 species
UUGAAACAUUGUAAAGAAAGGUUGAGCUGGCCCUUCAAGGGCAAGUGCUCGCUUUUCUUUCAAUCUUCAUCCACCUGUGCACCUUUUGUAGUGAGCUCUGAGAAAUGUGGGCCCUUUCAGGAGGGUUUCUGAGUAUCAAGGCUCUCUAUGUUUUUAUACACUCUGAUUGUAUGUCUUUGAAUGUCUUUACAAGGAAUCCUUAAUUGGACCUUUUAAAAUCUAUA